rnacentral:rRNA from 1 species
GAGUAACGCGUGAGGAACCUGCCUCAAAGAGGGGGACAACAGUUGGAAACGACUGCUAAUACCGCAUAAGCCCACGGGUCGGCAUCGACCUGAGGGAAAAGGAGUGAUCCGCUUUGAGAUGGCCUCGCGUCCGAUUAGCUAGUUGGUGAGGUAAUGGCCCACCAAGGCGACGAUCGGUAGCCGGACUGAGAGGUUGAACGGCCACAUUGGGACUGAGACACGGCCCAGACUCCUACGGGAGGCAGCAGUGGGGAAUAUUGCACAAUGGGGGAAACCCUGAUGCAGCGACGCCGCGUGGAGGAAGAAGGUCUUCGGAUUGUAAACUCCUGUUGUUGAGGAAGAUAAUGACGGUACUCAACAAGGAAGUGACGGCUAACUACGUGCCAGCAGCCGCGGUAAAACGUAGGUCACAAGCGUUGUCCGGAAUUACUGGGUGUAAAGGGAGCGCAGGCGGGAAGACAAGUUGGAAGUGAAAUCUAUGGGCUCAACCCAUAAACUGCUUUCAAAACUGUUUUUCUUGAGUAGUGCAGAGGUAGGCGGAAUUCCCGGUGU